GAUCAUGGCUACAGAACGAACGCUGGCGGCAGGCUUAACACAUGCAAGUCGAACGGUUGUAGCAAUACAGCAGUGGCAGACGGGUGAGUAACACGUGGGAACCUUCCUAGGGGUACGGAACAACUCAGGGAAACUUGAGCUAAUACCGUAUACGUCCGUGAGGAGAAAGAUUUAUCGCCCUUAGACGGGCCCGCGUCGGAUUAGCUAGUUGGUGGGGUAACGGCCUACCAAGGCGACGAUCCGUAGCUGAUCUUAGAGGAUGAUCAGCCACACUGGGACUGAGACACGGCCCAGACUCCUACGGGAGGCAGCAGUGGGGAAUCUUGGACAAUGGGCGCAAGCCUGAUCCAGCCAUGCCGCGUGAGUGAAGAAGGUCUUCGGAUUGUAAAGCUCUUUUGCCAGGGACGAUAAUGACGGUACCUGGAGAAUAAGCCCCGGCAAACUUCGUG
rnacentral:rRNA from 1 species